rnacentral:tRNA from 1 species
GCCCAAGUGGUGGAAUUGGUAGACGCGGCGGACUCAAAAUCCGCUGGAGGAGACUCCAUGACGGUUCGAUUCCGUCCUUGGGCA